AUCUUGUGGCUGUGUUGUGCGCGGUGAGCCCUGUAGGGCCGGGGAGGCACCAGCUGCCGCGCGGGGAGGAGGCCGAGGCCGCAGCUUGAGAGAGGCCCCAGGCCCUCUGCGCCUGUGUCUGGCAGAGCCAGUAGGAGACGAAGAGACAAUCCUUCCCUGCCGCCCGGAUAAUCAAGAGUUUUGGCCGGACCUUUGAGCACACACUGAGAGAAUGAGGAGCCAGACGAAAAGCACAGACUAUGGCACUGGAACGGAUUAAUAAGGAACUUAGUGAUCUGGCCCGUGACCUCCAGCACAAUGUUCUGCAGGUCCAGUUGGGGAUGAUAUGUUUCAUUGGCAAGCCACAAUUAAGGGACCUGACAACCCAUAUCAAGGCAGUGUAUUCUUUUUGACAAUUCAUUUUCCUACAGACUACCCCUUCAAACCACCUAAGGUUGCAUUUACAACAAGAUUUUAUCAUCCAAAUAUUAACAGUAAUGGUAGUAUUUGUCUCGAUAUUCUAAGAUCACAGUGGUCUCCUGCUUUAACUAUUUCUAAAGUUCUUCUAUCCACUUGUUCACGGCUCUGUGAUCCAAACCCAGAUGACCCUCUAGUGCCAGAGAUUGCGCGGAUCUAUAAAACAGACAGAGAUAAGUGCAACAGAAUAUCUCAGGAACGGACUCUGAAGAAUGCCAUGUGA